AGUGAACGCUGGCGGUAGGCCUAACACAUGCAAGUCGAACGGCAGCACAGUAAGAGCUUGCUCUUACGGGUGGCGAGUGGCGGACGGGUGAGGAAUACAGCGGAAUCUACUUUUUCGUGGGGGAUAACGUAGGGAAACUUACGCUAAUACCGCAUACGACCUACGGGUGAAAGCAGGUGAUCUUCGGACCUUGCGCGAUUGAAUGAGCCGAUGUCGGAUUAGCUAGUUGGCGGGGUAAAGGCCCACCAAGGCGACGAUCCGUAGCUGGUCUGAGAGGAUGAUCAGCCACACUGGAACUGAGACACGGUCCAGACUCCUACGGGAGGCAGCAGUGGGGAAUAUUGGACAAUGGGCGCAAGCCUGAUCCAGCCAUACCGCGUGGGUGAAGAAGGCCUUCGGGUUGUAAAGCCCUUUUGUUGGGAAAGAAAAGCAGCAGGUUAAUACCCCGCUGUUCUGACGGUACCCAAAGAAUAAGCACCGGCUAACUUCGUG
rnacentral:rRNA from 1 species